GAUCCUGGCUCAGGAUGAACGCUAGCUACAGGCUUAACACAUGCAAGUCGAGGGGCAGCAUGGUCUUAGCUUGCUAAGGCCGAUGGCGACCGGCGCACGGGUGAGUAACGCGUAUCCAACCUGCCUUACACUCUUGGACAGCCUUCUGAAAGGGAGAUUAAUACAAGAUGUUAUCAUGAGUAAGCAUUUUCGUCAUGAUUAAAGGUUUUAACCGGGUUGUAGAUGGGAGUGCGUUCCU
rnacentral:rRNA from 1 species